AAGAGUAUAGUUUAAUUGGUAAAGCAAGAAGCUUCAACCUUCUUAUCCUCAGUUCAAGUCUGAGUACUCUUG
rnacentral:tRNA from 1 species